rnacentral:rRNA from 1 species
AUGAAGGAUGCUGCUGUGACCCAUGCCACCCGAUCAGCAAGUGUUGAAGUGCACGCUCCCGAUAUCAACCUAAGCAAGGAAGAUUCCCGCUCAUCUGAUACAGAUUCCAAGCGUGUGGCUGGUGGCACUUCUGCGUCCAUGGAAGAAGGGGUUGCGGCGACAAUUCAGAAUGAGAUGCCAUCCACACAUGAGAAUCUUGGCACAACAGCUCCAGCUUCUGGUGGUCCAGAGGUUGCUACGGCGACCAUUAGGCGAGUUGGUCUUCCACCUAGGCGGCGUAGCCCCCGCAAGCAAUCUGCAGACAUACCCAAUGCACCAGCUGUAGCUAGGAACAGCAGAGAUGACGCUGGUUAUGUGCUUGCGUCCACACUGUUCCCACCACCUGCCAAAAGCAAUGUUAUGGAGAAAACAACAGUCCGGAGUGCAACUGACGCGGGUGUCAAGCCGGGCACGACUGACGGAGGUGAACGUCCGGAGUAG